CCCUUCUCAGGGUCACACCUGGAGAGUUUUCAGUACUCUACCAGUCUCGACUAUGGGAGAGAGAGUCAAUCAAAUGCCUACCCAUUCCAUUCCUAGCUUGGGCAGUGGCUAGCAAGUGGAAGGCAAUCUGCAACAAGU
rfam:Ornithorhynchus anatinus chromosome 1, whole genome shotgun sequence.